rfam:Oryza glumipatula chromosome 3, whole genome shotgun sequence.
UUUAAGUGUAAGUGCCUAACUUUGAUCAUUCGUCUUAUUUGAAUUUCUUUUAUAAUUAUUAUUUUUAUUAUUAUGAGAUGACAAAACAUAAAUAGUAUUUUAUACGUGAUUUAUGUUUUAAAUUUUUUUCAAAAAUUUUUCAUAUAAGACGAACGGUCAAAGUUAUGCCCGGAAAAUCAUAGUUGCAUUUAAA